GUGGGGAAUUUUGGACAAUGGGCGCAAGCCUGAUCCAGCAAUGCCGCGUGCAGGAAGAAGGCCUUCGGGUUGUAAACUGCUUUUGUACGGAACGAAACGGUCCUGGUUAAUACCUGGGGCUAAUGACGGUACCGUAAGAAUAAGCACCGGCUAACUACGUGCCAGCAGCCGCGGUAAUACGUAGGGUGCGAGCGUUAAUCGGAAUUACUGGGCGUAAAGCGUGCGCAGGCGGUGCUGUAAGACAGGCGUGAAAUCCCCGGGCUCAACCUGGGAAUUGCGCUUGUGACUGCAGUGCUGGAGUACGGCAGAGGGGGAUGGAAUUCCGCGUGUAGCAGUGAAAUGCGUAGAUAUGCGGAGGAACACCGAUGGCGAAGGCAGUCCCCUGGGCCUGCACUGACGCUCAUGCACGAAAGCGUGGGGAGCAAACAGGAUUAGAAACCCUUGUAGUCC
rnacentral:rRNA from 1 species